CGAUCUUCUCAGCCAUGUCCGUCAGCAGAGAGAAGGUGGGCUCCACGAUGAAAUCAAUGAACCCUGGUGCAGCACACAAAGUAUUCGAACCCUGCUCACUUACCAAUCUGGGACUGGGCUACCAGCGUGGUCUUGCGGUCACAGAGAGGAGAGAAAGGGAGCCCCAAUUCUGCCUCCUUGUCUCCCUAAAAAAAUGGACUCACUGCUGCCUCUUACCUCCAUUCCUCCCGGGAGAGGUUGAUGAAGAUGUUCCUCUCAUCGUCCUGCAUGAGCCGAA